rnacentral:lncRNA from 1 species
AUUUAAUUGCAUGGGGAUGUCUGGAGUGAGAUGAGCUUACUCCUGGAAGGAGAUGAUGGAAAUGCUUCAGGGUCAUGUGAGCUGAGUAGUUGCUGGGUGCUGGGGACUGUUUCCAGAGCUGCACAGUUCCAGAACUUUUCACACAGCUGA